rnacentral:rRNA from 1 species
CCUACGGGAGGCAGCAGUGGGGAAUCUUGGGCAAUGGGCGCAAGCCUGACCCAGCAACGCCGCGUGAAGGUAGAUGGCUUUCGGGUUGUAAACUUCUUUUCUCAGGGACGAAGCAAGUGACGGUACCUGAGGAAUAAGCCACGGCUAACUACGUGCCAGCAGCCGCGGUAAUACGUAGGUGGCAAGCGUUAUCCGGAUUUACUGGGUGUAAAGGGAGUGUAGUCGGGAAGGUAAGUCAGUUGUGAAAACCAUGGGCUCAACCUGUGGACUGCAUUUGAAACUGGUUUUAUUGAGUACUGGUGAGGUAGACGGAAUUCGUAGUGUAGCGGUGAAAUGCGUAGAUAUCAGGAGGAACACCAGUGGCGAAGGCGGUCUGCUGGACAGCAACUGACGCUGAGGCGCGAAAGCGUGGGGAGCAAACAGGAUUAGAUACCCUAGUAGUC